rnacentral:rRNA from 1 species
UUCGGAUGGCCCUGUUGCAGGACUAAAGACCGCUUUCUAAUCCAUUGAUCUUCGGAUUAAUAUUCAUAACAUCUGGCCUCAAAUCAGGUAGGACUACCCGCUGAACUUAAGCAUAUCAAUAAGCGGAGGAAAAGAAACUAACAAGGAUUCCCCUAGUAACGGCGAGUGAAGCGGGAAGAGCUCAAAUUUGAAAUCUGGUAGCCUUCGGUUGCCCGAGUUGUAAUCUAGAGAAGUGUUUUCCGCGUUGGCCCAUGUACAAGUCCCUUGGAACAGGGCGUCAUAGAGGGUGAGAAUCCCGUCCUUGACAUGGACCCCCAAUGCUUUGUGAUACACUUUCAACGAGUCGAGUUGUUUGGGAAUGCAGCUCAAAAUGGGUGGUGAAUUCCAUCUAAAGCUAAAUAUUGGCGAGAGACCGAUAGCGAACAAGUACCGUGAGGGAAAGAUGAAAAGCACUUUGGAAAGAGAGUUAAACAGUACGUGAAAUUGUUGAAAGGGAAACGAUUGAAGUCAGUCAUGCUCUUUGGAUUAAGCCGUUCUGCGGUGUAUUUCAUUGAGCGGGGUCAACAUCAGUUUUGAUCGCUGGAAAAGGGCAGGAGGAAGGUAGCACUCUCGGGUGAACUUAUAGCCUCUUGUCGUAUACAGUGAUUGGGACUGAGGAACGCAGCAUGCCUUUUGGCCGGGAUUCGUCCACGUACAUGCUUAGGA